AGAAAACUCUGCAGCAUUGAACAGCUUGAAGCAAUCCUAGAGAUUACAGACAGUAAUACUGUCCUGUAUUUUACUUGUUUGUUGUUUUGUGUUUUUAUAUCUUAUAUUUUUUUAAAUGUUGAUACUUAUUUAAGUAUUUUAGGUGAGAAAGAUUUUAUUUUGAAUUUGUGAAAUCCUGUCAUAUACAUAUUAGAGUAUUUUAUACUUGAUUUGGAUUCUGUCAUCAUUAAAAUUAUUUAUUGAUAUAUAAUAGACUUUGAUAAACAAACAGGCAGACACUGAUUUGAAUGAUGUUGAUUAUUUUACAUUUAAUGUAUGCUAGAAAUUCUCAAUAAACUGAUAAAAAUUGC
rnacentral:misc_RNA from 1 species